rnacentral:rRNA from 1 species
CCUACGGGUGGCAGCAGUGAGGAAUAUUGGGCAAUGGGCGCUAGCCUGAACCAGCCAAGCCGCGUGAAGGAUGACUGCCCUAGGGGUGGUAAACUUCUUUUAUAGGGGAAUGAAGAGCAGGAUGCCUCCUGCUUUGCAUGUACCUUAUGAAUAAGCAUCGGCUAACUCCGUGCCAGCAGCCGCGGUAAUACGGAGGGUUCGAGCGUUGUCCGGAUUUAUUGGGUGUAAAGGGAGCGUAGGCGGGUUGUUAAGUCAGAUGUGAAAGUUCGCGGCUCAACCGCAGAAUUGCAGUUGACACUGGCAGCCUUGAGUACAGGAGAGGUAGGCGGAAUUCGUGGUGUAGCGGUGAAAUGCGUAGAUAUCACGAAGAACACCGAUGGCGAAGGCAGCCGGCUGGACUGUAACUGACGCUGAGGCGCGAAAGUGUGGGUAGCAAACAGGAUUAGAUACCCGGGUAGUC